GAAAUGACACGGCAAAGUAACAGAACAGCAAAAUGACUAAAGAGAUGCAAGUGUUUGUUCUAUGAGGAAGCAUGGUAUACAAUAUGGACUUAAAAAGUUAAUUUGCAGCUGGACAGUCUGACAGUGUGAAGUAACAAUAAGGUAGAGUGGUUUCUGUACUGGCCUUGAACUUCAGAAUUGGGGAGAUGCAGAUGAUUGUUCUACAUGGCGCAUGAAGGAAAUCUAGUGGAUGGCAGUUAUAGAAAACAUAUAAUAAGGUUUGAAGGGUCGUGUGUUGAAUGUUUUGUACGAAGGUGGUAUGGAGGAAAGGGAAGCUAAUGCCACUCGACAGAGACAGCCUUUAUAUAUGGAACAAAGGAUCAGGAACAGAAUUUGGAACUGCAAGUUACACAGUACAGCAAAAACUUGUGUAGGGACACAAACAAAAUCCAGUAAUUGUCCAUUAAUGUGACAUGGAAAUGUGACUUUGAAAAAAAGAAAAAGUGGAUUGAAAUUUUAAGAAUAGUGAAAGCAAUUGAACAGAUAAUAAACAUAAAUGCACUUCCUUCUAGUAGAUGUCAUCACUGCCACAUUUGCCUAUGAACAUUCACAAGCUCCCUCAGCCUUAUUCUCUUCAGACAUGACUUCUCAGUUGAAAAAAACCUUCUUCUCAACAGUCAGUAUCAAGUGAUCCUGCAACCCAUGUAACUGACUUGGAUGCAUCUCCAUGUCUAUCUCUUCUGCUGACUACCGCAUGAACUUUGCCUGUUGAUCCAUUGAUUCCUGCUACCGUUGUUUCAGAUAUGAAAAUGAAUCCAGGUGUUACAUCUUCCACUGUUGAUCACGGCUUGGUUGCGCCCAUUUCCCUUUGAGCUGUCGCAGCUUCAGUUGGUAUUGUUUCAUCUAUGCCCAUUUGUUUUCCAGAAAGCGCUUAUGAUGCAGAUAUAAAGACCAGUGUUUCAGAUGGUACUACAUCCUGUUAUGUGUCAAAUGGUUCCGAGUCUACGCUACCUAAAACCGUUUGAGAAUUCAGUCAGUCUGAAUCUCAAUCUGGAAUUGGUUGUACCACAACCAUGUCUGGUAUGUCUUUGCAGCAACAUCAUCACCGUACAUUGACAUAUGUUUACAGACCCCUGAAUGUUUCUAUUCAGUUUUGAUCAGUCCAUACAAUGUCAACACAAUGUAGUGCAGGAACCAGUUUUUCCAUGCCUGUGUCUGGUACCAGUUUUUCCAUGCCACCAGUUUUUCCAUGCCUGUGUCUGGCACCAGUUUUUCCACGCCUGUGUCUUGUACCCAUUUUUCCAUGCCUAUGUCUGGUACCAGUUUUUCCACUCCUGUGUCUGGUACCAGUUUUUCCAUGCCUGCGUCUUUUACCAGUUUUUCCAUGCCUGUGUCUGGUACCAAUUUUUCCAAGCCUCUGUCUGGUACCAGUUUUUCCACGGCUAUGUCUGGUAAGCCUUUGCAGCCACGUCAUUACACUGUAAUGCCGUAUGUUUUUCAAUCCCUGAAUGUUGAUUUUCUGUCUCGUUCUAUCCAUUCUGAAAGUCUGGCUUUGGUAUCAUCUCUAUCUACUGAGGGUGCAGCAGAUUUAAGUUUUUCCACGCCAAGGACUGGUAUAACUUGGCAUCCACAUCAUCACAGUCGAGCUUUGAUGUCAGCACCAUCAGCAGGUUCCAGUUUUACCCAGUCUGUGUCUGAUAUGUCUUGGUAGUCACAUUGUCACAGUAUAAUGCCACAUUUUGCUCAGACAGUGAAAGUUUCUUUUCAGUCUCUAUCCACCCAUACUGGAAAUGCUGUGCAAUCCUCUCCUGGACAAGGCACUUGUGAUGUCCCAGUACCGGCACUACUGUCUGAAUCUCCUAGUUGGUCUUCUUCACUUUCUACCAAGUUUUCAGCAAGACAGCCUCUUCAGACAUCCACAGUAUUAAACAGGUCUUACGUAGAGGUUUCUUCUUCUGCAGAUGUUGCUGCUGUACAUCCAAUUCUUAACCUCAAGUUACAUAAAAAUGUCACUACUUCCCUUCUUAUGAACUAUUCCCAGGCACCUUCUCUCUUUGCUAGGAAAUCGGCCCAAACUUUUUUUUACUGAGAAUGAAUUGUAUGAGAGAAAUUUUUAUGCGCAAGGCAAAGUAUGUCUUCCACGUUUGAUAGAAGAAACAUAUGAACAUUUCCCCAGGGAGCUUGAAAGUGGGAGUAAAUGACAUAAACAGUGGAAUUAGGGGUUAACAGAGAAAAAGAAUAAGUAA